CCAGAGAACUUAGCAGAGAUGCUUUUGGUGCCUUCGGGAACUCUGAGACAGGUGCUGCAUGGCUGUCGUCAGCUCGUGUUGUGAAAUGUUGGGUUAAGUCCCGCAACGAGCGCAACCCUUUAUCCUUUGUUGCCAGCGGUCCGGCCGGGAACUCAAAGGAGACUGCCAGUGAUAAACUGGAGGAAGGUGGGGAUGACGUCAAGUCAUCAUGGCCCUUACGAGUAGGGCUACACACGUGCUACAAUGGCGCAUACAAAGAGAAGCGACCUCGCGAGAGCAAGCGGACCUCAUAAAGUGCGUCGUAGUCCGGAUUGGAGUCUGCAACUCGACUCCAUGAAGUCGGAAUCGCUAGUAAUCGUAGAUCAGAAUGCUACGGUGAAUACGUUCCCGGGCCUUGUACACACCGCCCGUCACACCAUGGGAGUGGGUUGCAAAAGAAGUAGGUAGCUUAACCUUCGGGAGGGCGCUUACCACUUUGUGAUUCAUGACUGGGGUGAAGUCGUAACAAGGUAGGCGUACGUGU
rnacentral:rRNA from 1 species